rnacentral:lncRNA from 1 species
GAUGUGAGAAAUGCAAGCCCAAUCCGCACCCUUUCUAUUUCCACAUCUUUCCUUCAAUUGGGGACAGUCAUUGAUAUUCAAUUCUCGUAACGAGGUGAGGGAACGCAUCUCUUGAGGCAGACACUUUAUUGCCGGACAAAUCUCAAUGGUUAGUCUUUGAAGACAAGUGAGAUUCCGCAGUCCAUCUGGAGGUAGAGAUUCGAGCUCUUUAAUGUCCCUAAUCCGAAGGAUCUUCAAUUUAGAGAGAGGAGGAACGAUUGAGGAAGAAGAAGAGAUUGAUGGUGUGAAUAUUUGGUGCACAAGUUGUGGGCUUGCGUACCGCAAAGAUAGUGAAUGAUCGAGAGAUGGAAACUGAGGGAUGGAGGUCAAAUUAGGGCAGUCCUCACAAACGAAAUAUGAAAGACAAGGAAAUUGGAGUAGCUCAAGAGCUGUCGAAUCAUCCUCCUUCUUCUUCUGCCAUCCUUUAAGCUUAGGACAACGAUAUAGCUCGAGAGUCUUUAGGGAUGGAAAGAAUGAUGUUGGUUGUUCCUCAAUCUCCAUGUAUUCUAAAUCAUCUACUCCCCAAAUCUCUAGAUAUUGAAGAGAAGGGAUUUGAUCCAUUGGUGGGAGAUGCUGAUAUCUCUUGCAAUUCCAUAUACAGAGAUAGACAAGAUUCGUGAGGGAAGAGAACCAACUUGGGAACCUCCUGCCUCCAUAGUUAAGCACGCGUAACUCUUUAAGAUUGGGAUGUGGUUGGAGAUUUUGGAAUGCCAUUUCAUCUCUAUCAACAUUUGAAUCUUCCCAACUCUCCUCCCAACUUAAUUUCAAUGAUUGAAUGAGUGGCUUCUCUUUCAAAUUAACAUUUACAAUCUCAUUAUCCACACAUCCCAGAUUUCUAAUUGCAAGACGUCCCCUCAAAUUGCUAAGCUUAUUCAAUUCAUUUAUUUUUCCAACAUCCUUUGAGGAAAUAUGCCCUUUUGCCACUACGAACAGUGACAACGUCUGAAGUGAAGUCAACUGCCCAAGCCCACGUGGCAUAUGAGUCAAAGAGUAACAACCUUCACAAUAUAAAUGCCUAAGAUUCACAAGCUUUUUAAUAUCUUUAGGCAAUUCUUUGAGCUGGACACAAUAAGAGACAUCGAAUACUUGUAAAUUCAGCAAAUCCGUAAUAGAAUGUGAAAGUGCUUUAAGUCCCUUGUUAUCGGAAACAUCAAGAUAUCUUAUAUAUUUUAGCAUUUUUAUAGAAUUAUCCACCGUUUUAUAUGAAUGCAUUGUAAAUACACGUAAAAAUUUUAAAUUUUUAUAAAUAAAUAACUGAUCGUAAUCAUAUUUCUCAAGAAAAAGAAGCGAUCGUAGUCUUUUUGUGUUAUUAAGAAUUUCUUUUGAUGCAACAUCCAAAUUCAAUGCUAAAUGAUGGAUUUUAUCAUCAAUAUUUGAUGCAUCAGAAUUUACUAGCUGAAUUCUCUUCCCACCCACUGUGGUUGCGAGAUCGUGCAUUAAAUCAUGCAUUUUACAGCUUUCUACAUUUCCACAUCUAUCUCUUUUCACCUCUUGAAAAAAUGACCUCCACCACAGUUUCAUAAAAUAUUCAAGCCCAAUAUCUUCAAGACAAUCACUCCAACUUGGUGACUCAAUAAACCCUUGUGCAAUCCAAAGAUGGAUUAAUCUUUUCACAUCAAUCACAUAAUCUUUUGGAUAUAUUGCGCAAUAUGCAAAACAAUGCUUCAAAUGUGAUGGGAGAUGAUCAUAACUUAGCUUCAGUGUUGGCAUAAUAUCAUUACCAUCUUGACUUAUUCUUGAGAGUUCUUUUGUUAAAAAGGGCAGCCACUCAGUUUCUGGAUUUUUCGCAUACAAGAGACUUGCGAUAGUUUUUAUUGCAAGAGGAACUCCAUGACAUUUCUUCAAAAUCUCCUUUCCCAUCUCUCUUACAUUUGCAUGUUUUGGCUCCUGCCCCUCAAGUGCUACAUGCAAAAACAAAGACCAAGACUCAUCCGGAGACAACCCUUCCAAAACAUGUGGUGCUAUUGUGCCAGAUAUAUCUGCCACCAUUUUAGAGCGAGUGGUUAUUAAUAUCUUACUUCCACUAGAGCCACCCACUAAUAAUCUCUUUAAAUUCUGCCAUUUUUCUCUAUUCUCAUUCCACACAUCAUCUAGAACAAGCAGAUAUUUCUUCCCACUAAAAAUUUUUUCCAGUCUAGACUUCAAUGCUUCUAACCCAAGAUCUUCCGAUCUAUUCCCUGUUGCAGACUCUAGAAUCUUUCCAACAGUCAUUUUCACAUCAAAAGGUUCUGAAACACACACCCAUAUUCUUGGCUCAAAUGAAUUCUUAAUCAAUUCAUCAUUCAAUAUGAUUUGAGCAAGAGUGGUCUUCCCUAAUCCUCCAAUUCCAACAAUUGAGAGGACUGAAACACACUCUUCACCAUUGGAAGACAAUACAAGUUGUGUAAUUGCCUUUUUGUCACCCUCUCUCCCAAUAACCACUUCAGGUAAAGAGGACGUAGUUUGAUCCCUCCAUACAAUACUCUCCUGAUCAGUACGAACCUCUAAAUUAAAUUUUCUGUCAGCUUCAAUAUCAGCUAGCCUCUCCCUAAUCGCCUUAACUUUAUGACCCAUUUUAAAACCAUAAACAAGUUUAUUUGAAGACGAAAAGAAGAGACUUACCUCCUUUGUCAUUCUAUUUCCAGUCAUCACUCGGCGCCUUAGGGCUUCUGUGGCGAAGUCAUCUACCAAGUCAUCAGCAUCAUAAACCACUUCUUCUAGCCUCUCAAGCCAGCCUUUCACUUGACGGUUAAGUUUCUGCUGCUCCUCAGCAUCCAGAAGAACGUUGCGAAUACUAGAAACUGUGGCCUCAAGUUUCUUAAGCUCACCUUUGACGCCCCACCACAAUCCGAUCUCAUGAAGGGCUCGAGAACCCAGCUUGGUAAUGAUAUCUAUGACAACGUUAGAGAGAACUCCGUCGGCCAUUUUGGGUGUUUUGGUUUGAUUGUAAAAGGAUGAAAUGUUGCUGUGAAGAAGAAGAUGGUGACAACAAAUGACUAAUUUAAAGAAAAAAAAAAGUGAAGGAAAAAGCAUUCUUCUAAAUAAUUAUCUUCAGUCGGUCAGCUUUGGUGGGCGGUGGUUUGCUUUAAUUUAAAAAGUAAAAUAUAUUAAUAAAUUUAUAUAUAGAAUGAAAGUAAGUUAUGUUUUUUUUAAAAUAAUUUUAUUUUUUUAUUUAAAAAAUAUUUUUUAUUAAAUAAAUUUUGAGUGAUUCAAAUCGUUAAAAAAUAUAAAAUAUAUUUUUAAUGUUAAUGAAUUUUGGUUAUUGAAAUGAAAGUAUUUUUAUAUAUUUGUAUGAUGAUAUAAAAUUAUAUCAGGUGUAACAUGUAUAAUAGAUUUAUUAUGAGUUUUAAAGAUUUUAAAUGGAUCUGAAUUUCAAUACUGUAGCGAUUUGAUUUUUGAAUCGUUAUAGAAAUAACCGGUUGAUUUUAUGAAUUCUAGUACUGUAGCGAUUCGAUUUUUAAAUCGUCAUAGGAACAAUAAUCAUUAUAGGAACAAUAGGUUGAUUUUAUUUUUUGGGUAACAGAAUCUCAAGAGUAUCCUAUUGCAUAUUAUAGAUCCAUCGAUGUUAGAGAUGUUGUGUAUGCACACAUUCAAGAUUUGGAGAUUCCUUCUCUUCUGAGGUUCUAAAGAUUGUGUCAGCAACAUUAUCCUACAUUGCACCUUUCAAAAAAGUAUGAUUUUUUUUAUAUUUUUGCAUGCUCAUUUUGAACCAGCUAUAUAAAUGCUAAGAUCUAUAAUUAUUCGGAUAAUUGAGAAAUAGUUGUUUUGAAUGAUUAAUUUGAUCAUGGAAUAUAAUCUGAGUUGCAGAUGUGGCUCUAGAUUGAAUUACUUAACAAAGUAUGAGGUAUCAAAGGAAAAAGCGAAAACUUUGGGCAUUGACUUCAUUCCUUUGGAGGUUAGUUUGAAGGACACUAUUGAAAGCUUGAAGCAGAAGGGCUUCCUCAGCAUUUGAUUUUGGCUGUUGGAUAAAAAGCAAUGCAAAUAUUACAUUGGCCUUAGCUUCCUAUUGGUGCAAGAUCUUAUUGCCCUUCAAGAUUGUCUUUAUUUGAAAAAAGUGGACCAAUACAAUUUAUAAAAUAUAUAACAAUUUGUAUAUAACUGUGUAUAAACAUAUUACAUGUGUCACUUGUUUUAGUGAUAGAUGAAGUUCGUUUCAGGUCUGAUUUAUGAGGAAAUUACUUUUUUUUUUUUUUUUAUCUGAUUUCAGGUCACAUUCCAAAGAAUAAGACACAAGAAAAAGAAAAUGUAUAAUCCACCAAUUCUGAUUUAGUUCGGUCUUUUCAAAGUAUAUUCAGAUUUCAUAGCCAAUUCAUUUAAUGCCGUAUCUGAUUUCUGGUUCUUGUGAUAUGCUCUUACAAAAUUCAUCUAAAAUUCAGUGCUCUUACACAUUCUGGAAACACAAUUUAUACAAAAACUGAUUUCUCAGGAAAAAAAAGGAAAAUAAUGUUAUUUGCAUUGAAUGAACAAAUGAUUAGCAUAGUAGCAAAACUACUUAAAAUAAGAGAAAUUAGAAACCAAAAAGCAGCACAGCAUGAGUCUGGGCAUUGCAUGUUGGAUGAUCGAAACAGAGGUCUUGAGUGCGAAUCUAGAUCCUGAAAUACGCAGGCCUGCAAAAAGUCAUUCGAAGAAGUGUGCAAAACUCCCAUCAUUCAGCUUUCUUUCUGCUUCCCGCUCAGCAGGAUUACUAUGUACUGAGACAGAUAGGAAACUUAUCCCGGUGAGUUUUUAUUCCGGGAUGUCAAGGGCACAAUGCGCAGCUUAGUGAAUCUCCAUCAUCUUUGCCACAGGUGUAAGUUAUGAAGAUAGUUGCUAGAUGGAGGAUUUUCACACUAGUGAUUAAGCAUCUGUUUCAAGCCAGAAUCAUCAUUAAAUCACAGAUUUGCUUUACAAGCAAUAACUAGAGGGAUUUCAUAUUACAAGUAGAGUCUUUAUAACCUACUGAAUCGCUUAUUUGCGAAGACAGAAGAAAAGGAGAGCUCACGUUUUGUUUUUACUGCACAAAUACUGCAUAUGGAAUCUGAGUGAGAAGUUACUCCCUAAAAAUUUCAAAAGUGUUUUUGAGAGGUACCUUUGCGCGAAUCUUCUGGCAACAGACCCAAAGAAGUCAUCCAAUAAGUAGAAAUUCUUCUAUGGAAGGCCACACACAUUAAUAGCAGUUCUUUCAAGGCGAAUUAUGCCAAGCCAAUCAAGGAAUUGCUGCCAUGGCAUGUAGUUGUGGUUUCUUAAUGUGUUCGAGUAACUUCUGCACAAGGAAUCAAAUUAAUCUUUAAAUCCGUGAAAUUAAAAGGGAUGCAGAAUUACAAAACUAAUAAUAAGAACAAUAAUAAUAAGAUGGAUAGAAGCAUGACCUGCCAAUGCAUGAUUUCGGCAAGCCUUUGCUUUGGUUCACCACUUCCCAAUGUAGUAAGAAUUUCAACAGCAUCCCAGAAUUUCAAUAGCAUCCCAAUGAUAACUCAUACUUGAUGAGCCUUGAUGGAGAAAUGAAAGUCCAGUUAAAAUUAUUCAAAAUGCAUAUCCACUCGCCAAGAACAUAUGCACCCAGAAAUCUCCUUAAAUAAAUAAGGUUUUAACAAGGUGAAUGCUUUGCUUUUUCUUUUUUUGGGAAGAACUUCAAAGUAAACAAAGGUAAGACUGUUGGGUUUUGAUGUUUACCUUGUGUGGGAGAAAUAUGAUGUUUACCCAGAAAUCACAUUUUUGUUUUCAGAAUAAAUGGUUUUUUCCACCUCUGCAUUUGACAUUGAAAAAACUUGAAUAAAUACCAAAUAAUUAAGAAAUGCUGCUGAUUUAAUUUACAAAGGAAUGGUGCAUGUGAAGAGAAAUUGACAUAUGACAAUCACAUUCAGCACAAUCAAUUCUCAUCCUAAUUUAGAAGACUAAUCAAACUAACUGCAGCAAUAACAUCUUUUCCACGAAGUCUACUAACUUCUGCACAUAGAGUCAAAAUUAAUCCGUUAUAUCCAUGAAAAGAAUGAAGGCAGAAUUACAUUAAAAAAUGAAUAAAAAUGAUGGUUAAAAGAAUGACCUGCCAAUGCAUUUAAAAUCUCUUUGAAUUUGUUUCCCACAUCCCAAUUUAUUAGAAUUUCAGGUGAGUAAAAAAAGAAAAAAAUGAUUCCUCUAGCUUGAUGAGCCUGUAUAUGUGGGAAAAAAGUGUUAAAAUAUUAUCAUAAAGCAAACAAAUUCUCAAUUACACAAAAAAUAAAAGAAAGAAAAGGUACGCUGUAUAUUGAUCUUGAUUGUAAAGAAAUAAUGACAAAAGGAUACUUACAACUCAAAGGUAAUACACUGCUCAUUUUGGAAGAAACACAUCCAACACUUCAAAACUUAUCCUUCAUUGAUCUGUGUAAAUAGAAUCAUAGAGUGAAGAUUUUCUCAUGUAAGUUUAGUUUGCAAAUUGGAGAGAAAAAGGACCAACUUACCGAAGCUUCAUCAUCCAGUAGAUAGCGGCCCUCUCUUUGAAUUCUUUGGUUAUCAACUUCAAUAUUUGGGAUGUGAGAAAUGAAAGCCCAAUCCGCACCCUUUCUAUUUCCACAUCUUUCCUUCAAUUGGGGACAGUCAUCGAUAUCCAAUUCUCGUAACGAGGUGAGGGAACGCAUCUCUUGAGGCAGACACUUUAUUGCCGGACAAAUCUCAAUGGUUAGUCUUUGAAGACAAGUGAGAUUCCGCAGUCCAUCUGGAGGUAGAGAUUCGAGCUCUUUAAUGUCCCUAAUCCAAAGGUUCUUCAAUUUAGAGAGAGGAGGAAUGAUUGAGGAAGAAGAAGAGAUUGAUGGUGUGAAUAUUUGGUGCACAAGUUGUGGGCUUGCGUGCAGCAAAUGUAGUGAAUCAUCGAGAGAUGGAAACUGAGGGAUGGACUUCAAAUUAGGGCAGUCCUCACAAACGAAAUAUGAAAGACAAGGAAAUUGGAGUAGCUCAAGAGCUGUCGAAUCAUCCUCCUUCUUCUUCUGCCAUCCUUUAAGCUUAGGACAACCAUAUAGCACGAGAGUCUUUAGGGAUGGAAAGAAUGAUGUUGGUUGUCCCUCAAUCUCCAUGUAUUCUAAAUCAUCUACUCCCCAAAUCUCUAGAUAUUGAAGAGAAGGGAUUUGAUCCAUUGGUGGGAGAUGCUGAUAUCUCUUGCAAUUCCAUAUACAGAGAUAGACAAGAUUCGUGAGGGAAGAGAACCAACUUGGGAACCUCCUGCCUCCAUAGCCAAACACAAGUAACUCUUUAAGAUUGGGAUGUGGUUGGAGAUUUUGGAAUGCCAUUUCAUCUCUAUCAACAUUUGAAUCUUCCCAACUCUCCUCCCAACGUAGUUUCAAUGAUUGAAGGAGUGGCUUCUCUUUCAAAUUAACAUUUACAAUCUCAUCAUCCACACAUCCCAGAUUUCUAAUUUCAAGACGUCCCCUCAAAUUGUUAAGCUUAUUCAAUUCAUUUAUUUUUCCAACAUCCUUUGAGGAAAUAUGCCCUUUUCCCACUACGAACAGUGACAACGUCUGAAGUGAAGUCAACUGCCCAAGCCCACGUGGCAUAUGAGUCAAAGAGUUACAACCUUCACAAUAUAAAUGCCUAAGAUUCACAAGCUUUUUAAUAUCUUUAGGCAAUUCUUUGAGCUCGUCACAAUAAGAGACAUCUAAUACUUGUAAAUUCAGCAAAUCCGUAAUAGAAUUUGAAAGUGCUUUAAGUUUCUCGUUAUCGGAAACGUCAAGAUAUCUUAGAUAUUUUAGCAUUUUUAUAGAAUUAUCCAUUAUUCUAUAUGAAUGCAUAGUAAAUACACGCAAAAAUUUUAAAUUUUUAUAAAUAAAUAGCUGAUCGACAUUAUGUUCCUCAGACAAAAGAAUCGAUCGUACUCUUUUUGCAUUGUUAAGAAUUUCUUGUGGUGCAACAACUAAAUUCAAUGCUACAUGAUGGGUUUUCUCAUCAAUAUUUGGUGCAUCAGAAUUUACUAGCUGAAUCCUCUUUCCACCCACUGUGGUUGCGAGAUCGUGCAUUAAAUCAUGCAUUUUACAGCUUUCUACAUUUCCACAUCUAUCUCUUUCCACCUCUUGAAAAAAUGACCUCCACCACAGUUUCAUAAAAUAUUCAAGCCCAAUAUCUUCAAGACAAUCACUCGUACUUGGUGAUUCAAUAAACCCUUGUGCAAUCCAAAGAUGGAUUAAUGUUUUCACAUCAAUCACAUAAUCUUUUGGAUAUAUUGCGCAAUAUGCAAAACAAUGCUUCAAAUGUGAUGGGAGAUGAUCAUAACUUAGCUUCAGUGUUGGCAUAAUAUCAUUACCAUCUUGACUUAUUCUUGAGAGUUCUUUUGUUAAAAAGGGCAACCACUCAGUUUCUGGAUUUUUCGCAUACAAGAGACUUGCUAUAGUUUUUAUUGCAAGUGGAACUCCAUGACAUUUCUUCAAAAUCUCCUUUCCCAUCUCUCUUACAUUUGCAUGUUUUGGCUCCUGCCCCUUAAGUGCUACAUGCAAAAACAAAGACCAAGACUCAUCCAGAGACAACCCUUCCAAAACAUGUGGUGCUGUUGUGCCAGAUAUAUCUGCCACCUUUUUAGAGCGAGUGGUUAUUAAUAUCUUACUUCCACUAGAGCCACCCACUAAUAAUCUCUUUAAAUUCUGCCAUUUUUCUCUAUUCUCAUUCCACACAUCAUCUAGAACAAGCAGAUAUUUCUUCCCACUAAUAAUUUUUUCCAGUCUAGACUUCAAUGCUUCUAACCCAAGAUCUUCCGAUUUAUUCCCUGUUGCAGACUCUAGAAUCUUUCCAACAGUCAUUUUCACAUCAAAAGGUUCUGAAACACACACCCAUAUUCUUGGCUCAAAUGAAUUCUUAAUCAUUUCAUCAUUCAAUAUGAUUUGAGCAAGAGUGGUCUUCCCUAAUCCUCCAAUUCCAACAAUUGAGAGGACUGAAACACACUCUUCACCAUUGGAAGACAAUACAAGUUGUGUAAUUGCCUUUUUGUCACCCUCUCUCCCAAUAACCACUUCAGGUAAAGAGGACGUAGUUUGAUCCCUCCAUACAAUACUCUCCUGAUCAGUACGAACCUCUAAAUUAAAUUUUCUGUCAGCUUCAAUAUCAGCUAGCCUCUCCCUAAUCGCCUUAACUUUAUGACCCAUUUUAAAACCAUAAACAAGUUUAUUUGAAGACGAAAAGAAGAGACUUACCUCCUUUGUCAUUCUAUUUCCAGUCAUCACUCGGCGCCUUAGGGCUUCUGUGGCGAAGUCAUCUACCAAAUCAUCAGCAUCAUAAACCACUUCUUCUAGCCUCUCAAGCCAGCAUUUCACUUGACGGUUAAGUUUCUGCUGCUCCUCAGCAUCCAGAAGAACGUUGCGAAUACUAGAAACUGUGGCCUCAAGUUUCUUAAGCUCACCUUUGACGCCCCACCACAAUCCGAUCUCAUGAAGGGCUCGAGAACCCAGCUUGGUAAUGAUAUCUCCGACAACGUUAGAGAGAACUCCGUCGGNNNNNNNNNNNNNNNNNNNNNNNNNNNNNNNNNNNNNNNNNNNNNNNNNUUUAAAUAAAAAAAAAAAAAAAGAAGUGGAGGAAAAAGCGGUCCGUUAACUUUGGACGGCGCUGGUUUGCUUUAAUUUAAAAAGUAAAAUAUAUUAAUAAAUUUAUAUAUAGAAUGAAAGUUAGUUAUUUUUUAUAAAAUAAUUUUAUUUUUUAUUAAAUAAAUUUUAUGAGUGAUUUAAAUCGUUAAAAAAUAUAAAAUAUAUUUUUGAUGUUACUAAAAUUUUGUUAUUGAAAUGAAAGUAUUUUUAUAUAUUUUGUGAUGAUGUAUAAAGUUACAUUAGGUAUAAUAUGAUGUAUAGUAAAUUUAUUAUGAGUUUUAAUGACUUUAAAUCGAUUUAAAUUUUAAUAUUGAUAGCGGUUCAAUUUCUGAAUUAUUAUCGAAAUGUAUAGCAGGAGCUCAAGAGUAUCCUGUUGCAUAUUAUAGAUCCAUCGAUAUAAAAAAUAUGGCAUAUGCACACAUUCAGGAUUUAGAGAUUCCUUCAGCUAGUGGCAGAUAUUGUUUAAUUAAAAGAGAUGUCCACUUCUCUGAGGUUUUGAAGAUUGUGUCAGCAACAUUAUCCUACAUUGCACCUUCCAAAAAACUAUGGUUUUUUUUAUAUUUUUGCAUGCUCAUGUUGGACCAGCUAUAUGAAUGGCUAAGAUAUAUAAUUAUUUGGAUAACUGAGAAAUAGUUAUUUUGAAUGAUUAAUUUGAUCAUGGAAUAUAAUCUGAGUUGCAGAUGUGGCUCUGAAUUGAAUUACUUAACAAAGUAUGAGGUAUCAAAGAAAAAAGCGAAAACUUUGGAUAUUGAUUUCAUUCCUUUGGAGGUUAGUUGAAGGACACUAUUGAAAGCUUGAAGGAGAAGAGCCUCCUCAGCAUUUGAUUUUGGCUGUCGGAUAAAAAGCAAUGCAAAUAUUACAUUGGCCUUUCAGGUUCAUUGGCUUUAGCUUUCUAUUGGUGUAAGGUAUUAUUGCCCUUCAGAAUUGUCUUUAUUUAAAAAAAGUGAACCCAUACAAUUUGUAAAAUAUAUUAAAAUUUGUAUACAGCUGUAUAUAAACAUAUUACAUGUGUCGCUUGUUUCUGGUAGAUAAAGUUCAUUUCAGGUCUGAUUUCUGAGGAAGUUGCUCUUUUUUUUUAUCUGAUUUCAAGUCUCAUUCCAAAGAAGAAGACACAAGAAAAAGAAAAUGUGUAAUCCACCAAUUCAGAUUUAGUUCAGUCUUUUCAAAGUAUAUUCAGAUUUCAUAGCCAAUUCAUUUAAUGCUGUAUCUGAUUUCUGGUUCUUGUGAUACGCUCUUACAAAAUUCAUUUAAAAUUCAGUACUCUUACACAUUUUGGAAACACAAUUUAUACAAAAACUGAUUUCUCAGGAAAAAAAAGGAAAAUAAUGUUAUUUGCAUUGAAUGAACAAAUGAUUAGCAUAGUAGCAAAACUACUUAAAAUAAGAGAAAUUAGAAACCAAAAAGCAGCACAGCAUGAGUCUGGGCAUUGCAUGUUGGAUGAUCGAAACAGAGGUCUUGAGUGCGAAUCUAGAUCCUGAAAUACGCAGGCCUGCAAAAAGUCAUUCGAAGAAGUGUGCAAAACUCCCAUCAUUCAGCUUUCUUUCUGCUUCCCGCUCAGCAGGAUUACUAUGUACUGAGACAGAUAGGAAACUUAUCCCGGUGAGUUUUUAUUCCGGGAUGUCAAGGGCACAAUGCGCAGCUUAGUGAAUCUCCAUCAUCUUUGCCACAGGUGUAAGUUAUGAAGAUAGUUGCUAGAUGGAGGAUUUUCACACUAGUGAUUAAGCAUCUGUUUCAAGCCAGAAUCAUCAUUAAAUCACAGAUUUGCUUUACAAGCAAUAACUAGAGGGAUUUCAUAUUACAAGUAGAGUCUUUAUAACCUACUGAAUCGCUUAUUUACGAAGACAGAAGAAUAGGAGAGCUCACGUUUUGUUUUUACUGCACAAAUACUGCAUAUGGAAUCUGAGUGAGAAGUUACUCCCUAAAAAUUUCAAAAGUGUUUUUGAGAGGUACCUUUGAGCGAAUCUUCUGGCAACAGACUCAAAGAAGUCAUCCAAUAAGUAGAAAUUCUUCUAUGGAAGGCCACACACAUUAAUAGCAGUUCUUUCAAGGCGAAUUAUGCCAAGCCAAUCAAGGAAUUGCUGCCAUGGCAUGUAGUUGUGGUUUCUUAAUGUGUUCGAGUAACUUCUGCACAAGGAAUCAAAUUAAUCUUUAAAUCCGUGAAAUUAAAAGGGAUGCAGAAUUACAAAACUAAUAAUAAGAACAAUAAUAAUAAGAUGGAUAGAAGCAUGACCUGCCAAUGCAUGAUUUCGGCAAGCCUUUGCUUUGGUUCACCACUUCCCAAUGUAGUAAGAAUUUCAACAGCAUCCCAGAAUUUCAAUAGCAUCCCAAUGAUAACUCAUACUUGAUGAGCCUUGAUGGAGAAAUGAAAGUCCAGUUAAAAUUAUUCAAAAUGCAUAUCCACUCGCCAAGAACAUAUGCACCCAGAAAUCUCCUUAAAUAAAUAAGGUUUUAACAAGGUGAAUGCUUUGCUUUUUCUUUUUUUGGGAAGAACUUCAAAGUAAACAAAGGUAAGACUAUUGGGUUUUGAUGUUUACCUUGUGUGGGAGAAAUGUGAUGUUUACCCAGAAAUCACAUUUUGUUUUCAGAAUAAAUGGUUUUUUCCACCUCUGCAUUUGACAUUGAAAAAACUUGAAUAAAUACCAAAUAAUUAAGAUAUGCUGCUGAUUUAAUUUACAAAGGAAUGGCGCAUGUGAAGAGAAAUUGACAUAUGACAAUCACCUUCAGCACAAUCAAUUCUCAUCCUAAUUUAGAAGACUAAUCAAACUAAUUGCAGCAAUAACAUCUUUUCCACGAAGUCUACUAACUUCUGCACAUAGAGUCAAAAUUAAUCCGUUAUAUCCAUGAAAAGAAUGAAGGCAGAAUUACAUUAAAAAAUGAAUAAAAAUGACGGUUAAAAGAAAGACCUGCCAAUGCAUUUAAAAUCUCUUUGAAUUUGUUUCCCACAUCCCAAUUUAUUAGAAUUUCAGGUGAGUAAAAAACAAAUAAAUGAUUCCUCUAGCUUGAUGAGCCUGUACAUGUGGGAAAAAAGUGUUAAAAUAUUAUCAUAAAGCAAAUAAAUUCUCAAUUAUACAAAAAAUAAAAGAAAGAAAAGGUACUCUGUAUAUUGAUCUUGAUUGUAAAGAAAUAAUGACAAAAGGUACUCUGUAUAUUGAUCUUGAUUGUAAAGAAAUAAUGACAAAAGGAUACUUACGAACUCAAAGGUAAUACACUGCUCAUUUUGGAAGAAACACAUCCAACACUUCAAAACUUAUCCUUCAUUGAUCUGUGUAAAUAGAAUCAUAGAGUGAAGAUUUUCUCAUGUAAGUUUAAUUUGCAAAUUGGAGAGAAAAAGGACCAACUUACCGAAGCUUCAUCAUCCAGUAGAUAGCGGCCCUCUCUUUGAAUUCUUUGGUCAUCAACUUCAAUAUUUGGGAUGUGAGAAAUGAAAGCCCAAUCCGCACCCUUUCUAUUUCCACAUCUUUCCUUCAAUUGGGGACGGUCAUUGAUAUUCAAUUCUCGUAACGAGGUGAGGGAACGCAUCUCUUGAGGCAGACACUUUAUUGCCGGACAAAUCUGAAUGGUUAGUCUUUGAAGACAAGUGAGAUUCCACAGUCCAUCUGGAGGUAGAGAUUCCAGCUCUUCAAUGUCCGUAAUCUGAAGGAUCUUCAAUUUAGAGAGAGGAGGAAUGAUUGAGGAAGAAGAAGAGAUUGAUGGUGUGAAUAUUUGGUGCACAAGUUGUGGGCUUGCGCAGUGCAAAUAUAGUGAAUGAUCGAGAGAUGGAAACUGAGGGAUGGAGUUCAAAUUAGGGCAGUCCCUACAAACGAAAUACGAAAGACAAGGAAAUUGGAGUAGCUCAAGAGCUGUCGAAUCAUCCUUCUUCUUCUGCAAUCCUUUAAGCUUAGGACAACCAUAUAGCACGAGAACCCUUAGGGAUGGAAAGAAUGAUGUUGCUUGUCCCUCAAUCUCAAUGUACUCUAAAUCAUCUACUUCACGAAUAUGUAGAUAUUGAAGAGAAGGGAUUUGAUCCAUUGGUGGGAGAUGCUGAUAUCUAUUGCAAUUCCGUAUACAGAGAUAGACAAGAUUCGUGAGGGAAGAGAACCAACUUGGGAACCUCCUGCCUCCAUUGCCAAGCACACGUAACUCUUUAAGAUUGGGAUGCGGUUGGAGAUUUUGGAAUGCCAUUUCAUCUCUAUCAACAUUUGAAUCUUCCCAACUCUCCUCGCAACGUAAUUCCAAUGAUUGAAGGACUGGUUUCUCUUUCAUAUUAACAUUUACAAUCUCAUUAUCCACACAACCCAGAUUUAUAAUUUCAAGACGUCCCCUCAAAUUCUUAAGCUUAUUCAGUUCAUUUAUUUUUUCAACAUCCUUUGAGGAAAUAUGCCCUUUUGCCACUACGAACAGCGACAACGUCUGAAGUGAAGUCAACUGCCCAAGCCCACGUGGCAUAUGAGUCAAAGAGUAACAACCUUCACAAUAUAAAUGCCUAAGAUUUACAAGCUUUUUAAUAUCUUUAGGCAAUUCUUUGAGCUGGACACAGUAAGAGACAUCUAAUACUUGUAAAUUCAGCAAAUCGGUAAUAGAAUGUGAAAGUGCUUUAAGUCCCUUGUUAUCGGAACGUCAAGAUAUCUUAUAUAUUUUAGCAUUUUUAAAGAAUUAUCCAUCGUUGUAUAUGAAUGCAUCAUAAAUACACGUAAAAAUUUUAAAUUUUUAUAAAUAAAUAGUUGAUCGCAAUCAUAUUUCUCAAGCAAAAGAAGCGAUCGUACUCUUUUUGCGUUAUUAAGAAUUUCUUUUGAUGCAACAUCCAAAUUCAAUGCUACAUGAUGGAUUUUCUCAUUAAUAUUUAGUAUAUCAGAAUUUACUAGCUGAAUCCUCUUCCCACCCACUGUGGUUGCGAGAUCGUGCAUUAAAUCAUGCAUUUUACAGCUCUCUACAUUUCCAUAUCUAUCUCUUUCCACUUCUUGAAAAAAUGACCUCCACCACAGUUUCAUAAAAUAUUCAAGCCUAAUAUCUUCAAGAUAAUCACUCGUACUUGGUGACUCAAUAAACCCUUGUGCAAUCCAAAGAUGGAUUAAUCUUUUCACAUCAAUCACAUAAUCUUUUGGAUAUAUUGCGCAAUAUGCAAAACAAUGCUUCAAAUGUGAUGGGAGAUGAUCAUAACUUAGCUUCAGUGUUGGCAUAAUAUCAUUACCAUCUUGACUUAUUCUUGAGAGUUCUUUUGUUAAAAAGGGCAGCCACUCAGUUUCUGGAUUUUUCGCAUACAAGAGACUUGCGAUGGUUUUUAUUGCAAGAGGAACUCUAUGACAUUUCUUCAAAAUCUCCUUUCCCAUCUCUCUUACAUUUGCAUGUUUUGGCUCCUGCCCCUCAAGUGCUACAUGCAAAAACAAAGACCAAGACUCAUCCGGAGACAACCCUUCCAAAACAUGUGGUGCCAUUGUGCUAGAUAUAUCUGCCACCUUUUUAGAGCGAGUGGUUAUUAAUAUCUUACUUCCACUAGAGCCACCCACUAAUAAUCUCUUUAAAUUCUCCCAUUUUUCUCUAUUCUCAUUCCACACAUCAUCUAGAACAAGCAGAUAUUUCUUCCCACUAAUAAUUUUUUCCAGUCUAGACUUCAAUGCUUCUAACCCAAGAUCUUCCGGUCUAUUCCCUGUUGCAGACUCUAGAAUCUUUCCAACAGUCAUUUUCACAUCAAAAGGUUCUGAAACACACACCCAUAUUCUUGGCUCAAAUGAAUUCUUAAUCAAUUCAUCAUUGAAUAUGAUUUGAGCAAGAGUGGUCUUCCCUAAUCCUCCAAUUCCAACAAUUGAGAGGACUGAAACACACUCUUCACCAUUGGAAGACAAUACAAGUUCUGUAAUUGCCUUUUUGUCACCCUCUCUCCCAAUAACCACUUCAGGUAAAGAGGACGUAGUUUGAUCCCUCCAUACAAUACUCUCCUGAUCCGUACGAAACUCUAAAUUAAAUUUUCUGUCAGCUUCAAUAUCAGCUAGCCUCUCCCUAAUCUCCUUAACUUUAUGACCCAUUUUAAAACCAUAAACAAGUUGAUUUGAAGACGAAAAGAAGAGACUUACCUCCUUUGUCAUUCUAUUUCCAGUCAUCACUCGGCGCCUUAGAGCUUCUGUGGCGAAGUCAUCUACCAAGUCAUCAGCAUCAUAAACAACUUCUUCUAGCCUCUCAAGCCAGCCUUUCACUUGACGGUUAAGUUUCUGCUGCUCCUCAGCAUCCAGAAGAACGUUGCGAAUACUAGAAACUGUGGCCUCAAGUUUCUUAAGCUCACCUUUGACGCCCCACCACAAUCCGAUCUCAUGAAGGGCUCGAGAACCCAGCUUGGUAAUGAUAUCUCCGACAACGUUAGAGAGAACUCCGUCGGCCAUUUUGGGCGUUUUGGUUUGAUUGUAAAAGGAUGAAAUGUUGCUGUGAAGAAGAAGACGGUGACAACAAAUGACUGAUUUAAAGAAAAAAAAAGAAGUGGAGGAAAAAGCAUUCUUCUAAAUGAUUAUCUUCGGUCGGUCAACUUUGAACGGCGCUGGUUUGCUUUUUAAAUAAUAUAUUAAUACAUUUAUAUAUAUACAGAUGGAAAGAAAGUUAUUUUUUAAAAAAUAAUUUUAUUUUUUAUUAGAAAUGCAUUUUUUUUAAUUAAAUUUGAUGAGUGAUUCAAAUAUUAAAAAAUAUAAAAUAUAUAUAUACAGAUGGAAAGAAAGUUAUUUUUUAAAAAAUAAUUUAAUUUUUAAUAGAAAUGUAUUUUUUUUAAUUAAAUUUGAUGAGUGAUUCAAUUAUUAAAAAAUAUAAAAUAUAUUUUCGAUAUUGCUGAGAUUAAAUUGAUGUUGUAGUCGGAAUGAAACUGUACUAUAAUUGGUUAGAAUUUAUAAGAGAGGAAAUAUGAGAUAGUGGUGGGUACCUAUAGCAGCAAGGCAGUGAUGAGUACCUAUGACAGCUACUGUGACGCUAAAGUCAGUAUUUUGAAAAAUAGAAAAAAUUUAAUGAAUAACUUAGAGUUUGAGUAGUAUCAUAGAUAAUGUACCUUUAUCUUCGUAAUCGUUCUCCUUUUAUACUAUGAGAAAAUGUAUAUAAAUAUAUCAUGAAACAACAGGGCCUAAACUGGUCCAAAUAACUUUUGGACUCACUUUUCACUUGACCCAAAAUGGUUAAUUCAGGUUAUUUAGUAGUUUCGUGCUAGCUAUUAUAUACAAUUCCAAAAUCUCCCGAUGUGGGACAGCUUUCGCAGCGGAAGCGAACAGCUGACCAUUACACUCGAUCCCGCUAAAUUUGCGACGUCCUCGUCGCAGUUGAAUUGGAUACAAUUGCUAAUUAGGACCGAACCCUUAGGUAUUGUGGUUCGCUAGUACGUCGGGCGGCUCCACCUCGUCUCACACGGGUAGCUCUUUCCUUACAGGCUCACUAGCUCUACAUAAUUUGUUUGAUCUAGAGUGGCUCUAAUACCAAUUGAAACAGUCAGGUCCAAACUUGCUCAAAUAACUUUUGGACCCACUUUCUACUUUGCCCAAAAUAGUUAAUCUAAGUUAUUUAGUAGUUUUGUGCUACCUAUUAUAUACAAUUCCGAUUUUCUAUAAUCUCCCGGUGUGGGACGGCUUCCGCAGUGGAAGCAGGUAGCUGACCGUUGCACUUGGUCCCGCUAAAUUUGCGACGUCCUCGUCGCAACUGAAUCGGAUACAAUUGCUAACCAGGAUCGAACCCUUAGGUAUUGUAGUUCGCUAGUACCUCGAGCGGCUCCACCUCGUCUCACACGGGUAGCCCUUUCCUCGUAGGCCCACUAGCACAAUUUGUAUCUAGGGUGGCUCUAAUACCAAUUGAAACAGUCGGGUCCAAACUGGCCCAAAUAACUUUUGGACCCACUUUCCACUUGUCCCAAAAUGGUUAACUCAAGUUAUUUAAUAGUUUCGUGCUAACUAUUAUAUACAAUUUCGAUUUUCUAUAAUCUCCCAAUGUGGGACAGCUUCCGCAGCGGAAACAGGUAGCUGAUCGUUAUAAUCGGUCUCGCUAAAUUUGCGAUGUCCUCGUCGCAACUGAAUUUGAUACAAUUGCUAACCAAGACCGAACCUUUAGGUACUGUGGUUCGCUAGUACCUCUGGCGGCUCCACCUCAUCUAACACGGGUAGCUCUUUCCUCGCAGGCCCACUAGCUCUGCACAAUUUGUCUAACUCAGGGUGGCUCUGAUACCAAUUAAAAUAGUCGGGCCUAACCUGCCCCCAAAGGUUUGACUUUUGAAUCUGUGAGCGGACUUUAGGCCGUCGAACCUGCUGCCGAAAGUGCCCUGUCCAGCCUUUUUCAGCUUGCUUCCUACGUGUGUUCUUCUAUGUUCUUAGGGGGUAGUUUUAAGUGUUGUAAAAGUUAUAUUUGGUUCCUCAUUUAAGUCCAUCUGUGUAGGAUCGGACUUGGAAGAUCGUAGAAACUUGCAGUAAGAUAACUGUAUCAAAAUUAGGCGUGCGUCAGCCAGAGGUGAGUAGAACUAAACUCAAUUAUUAUUUUAAAAAAACCAAAUGUUUUAAGCAUACUUAUGCAUCACAAAUGCUAUGUAUAUAUAUGAUUAUGGUGCUUUGCAUUAGAAUUCACGAAUAUAAUGCAUUGCAUAAUUUAUUAUUGUUGUUGAUGUAUGUUAGAUGACCUUCUAGCCCUCAAGUAUGUUAUGGUAUGUUAUGACGGAUAUGGAAAGAGCAGGACUUGCUCAUUCUACGCCCUUGGCACUGUGUAAGGGAAAGACCAGGGUUACACAUUUUAUAUCCGUGGCACUAUGGAUAUGUUAUUUUAUGUUUAAGAGGAAAUUCUGAAAAGCGCUUGUCGUGGGCUGGGCACUAUUGGAAUCUAUAGAGAGUCACUGGUGACAAGUCUAUCUUGAUAUGAAUUGUUUGUGUUGUGACACAUUUAUACGAUCAUAUGUCUUAUUAAACUGCUUUUGUUAUGUUUCUGCUCACUAGCCUCUUAUAGUUUAUCCCUUUUCCCUAACUCCAGAUUUGCAGGAUCAGAAUUAGCUCGAGAGGUGGGCCGAGGUGUUGGUAUAGUCCAUUGUAAUAACAUAGUUGUGGACAUGUAUUAAUUUGUGAAUUUGAAUUGUGUUUUGCGUGAGUUUUCUUUAUAAUCCUUAUUUUAUGAUUUUUUUAUGUAAAAGAUUUUAAGUCUAAAUUAUGUUUGAACUAAGCUUGAGGUGUGUAAUAUUGACUAUACUAAAACAUUUGAUGAGAGCUCUAGUAUGAAUUUAUGUUUCCAGUUCUGAUACAUGCGCAGGUCAAGUUUUUGUUAUUGAAAUAGAAGUGUUUUUACAUGUUUGUGUGAUUAUGUAUGGAUCUAUAUCAAAUGUAACAGGAUGUAUAGUAAAUUUGCUAUGAGUUCCGGCAACCUUAGAUUGAUCUGAACCGUAGUGCCGAUAGCGGUCUGAGUUGCAGAUGUGGCUCCGAAUUGAAUUAUUUAACAAAGUAUGGGGUAUCAAAGGAAAAAAGUGAAAACUUUGGGUAUUGACUUCAUUCCUUUGGAGGUUAGUCUGAAGGACACUAUUGAAAGCUUGAAGGAUAAGGGCUUCCUCAGCAUUUAAUAUUGGCUGUUGGAUAAAAAGCAAUGCAAAUAUUACAUUGGCUUUUCAGGUUCAUUGGCUUUAGCUUCCUAUUGGUGCAAGAUAUUAUUACCCUUCAGGAUUGUCUUUAUUUGAAAAAAGUGGACCAAUACAAUUUGUAAAAUACAUAACAAUUUGUAUACAACUGUAUAUAAACAUAUUACAUGUGUCACUUGUUUCACUGGUGGAUGAAGUUCAUUUCAGGUCUGAUUUCUGAGGAAGUUACUCUUUUUUUUAUCUGAUUUCAGGUCUCAUUCCAAAGAAUAAGACACAAGAAAAAGAAAAUGUGUAAUCCACCAAUUCAGAUUUAGUUCAGUCUUUUCAAAGUAUAUUCAGAUUUCAUAGCCAACUCAUUUUAUGCUGUAUCUGAUUUCUGGUUCUUGUGAUAUGCUCUUACAAAAUUCAUCUAAAAUUCAGUGCUCUUACACAUUCUGGAAACAACAAUUUAUACAAAAACUGAUUUCUCAGGGAAAAAAAGGAAAAUAAUGUUAUUUGCAUUGAAUGAACAAAUGAUUAGCAUAGUAGCAAAACUACUUAAAAUAAGAGAAAUUAGAAACAAAAAAGCAGCACAGCAUGAGUCUGGGCAUUGCAUGUUGGAUGAUCGAAACAGAGGUGUUGAGUGAGAAUCUAGAUCCUGAAAUACGCGGGCCUGCAAAAAGUCAUUCGAAGAAGUGUGCAAAACUCCCAUCAUUCAGCUUUCAUUUCUGCUUCCGGCUUAGCAGGAUUACUAUGUACUGAGUUGUUUUCUGAACUGUGACAGAUAGGAAACUUAUCCCGGUGAGAUUUUAUUCCGGAAUGUCAAGGGCACAAUGCGUAGCUUAGUGAAUCUCCAUCAUCUUUGCCGCAGGUGUAAGUUAUGAAGAUAAUUGCUAGAUGGAGGAUUUUCACACUAGUAAUUUAGCAUCUGUUUCAAGCCAGAAUCAUCAUUAAAUCACAGAUUUGCUUUACAAGCAAUAACUAGGGGGAUUUCAUAUUACAAGUAGUCUUUAUAACUUACUGAAUCGCUUAUUUUUGAAGACAGAGGAUGAGGAGAGCUCACGUUUUGUUUUUACUGCACAAAUACUGCAUAUGGAAUCUGAGUGAGGAGUUACUCUCUAAAAAUUUCAAAAGUGUUUUUGAGAGGUACCUUUGCGUGAAUCUUCUGGCAACAGACUCAAAGUAGUCAUCCAAUAAGUAGAAAUUCUUCUAUGGAAGGCCACACACAUUAAUAGCAGUUCUUUCAAGGCGAAUUAUGCCAAGCCAAUCAAGGAAUUGCUGCCAUGGCAUGUAGUUGUGGUUUCUUAAUGUGUUCGAGUAACUUCUGCACAAGGAAUCAAAUUAAUCUUUAAAUCCGUGAAAUUAAAAGGGAUGCAGAAUUACAAAACUAAUAAUAAUAACAAUAAUAAUAAGAUGGAUAGAAGCAUGACCUGCCAAUGCAUGAUUUCGGCAAGCCUUUGCAUUGGUUCACCACUUCCCAAUGUAGUAAGAAUUUCAACAGCAUCCCAGAAUUUCAAUAGCAUCCCAAUGAUAACUCAUACUUGAUGAGCCUUGAUGGAGAAAUGAAAGUCCAGUUAAAAUUAUUCAAAAUGCAUAUCCACUCGCCAAGAACAUAUGCACCCAGAAAUCUCCUUAAAUAAAUAAGGUUUUAACAAGGUGAAUGCUUUGCUUUUUCUUUUUUUGGGAAGAACUUCAAAGUUAACAAAGGUAAGACUAUUGAGUUUUGAUGUUUACCUUGUGUGGGAGAAAUAUGAUGUUUACCCAGAAAUCACAUUUUGUUUUCAGAAUAAAUGGUUUUUUCCACCUCUGCAUUUGACAUUGAAAAAACUUAAAUAAAUACCAAACAAUUAAGAUAUGCUGCUGAUUUAAUUUACAAAGGAAUGGUGCAUGUGAAGAGAAAUUGACAUAUGACAAUCACCUUCAGCACAAUCAAUUCUCAUCCUAAUUUAGAAGACUAAUCAAACUAAUUGCAACAAUAACAUCUUCUCCACGACGUCUACUACCUUCCGCACAUAGAGUCAAAAUUAAUCCGUUAUAUCCAUGAAAAGAAUGAAGGCAGAAUUACAUUAAAAAAUGAAUAAAAAUGAUGGCUAAAAGAAAGACCUGCCAAUGCAUUUAAGAUCUCUUUGAAUUUGUUUCCCACAUCCCAAUUUAUUAGAAUUUCAGGUGACUAAAAAACAAAUAAAUGAUUCCUCUAGCUUGAUGAGCCUGCAUAUGUGGGAAAAAAGUGUUAAAAUAUUAUCAUAAAGCAAAUAAAUUCUCAAUUAUAAAAAAAAAAAUAAAAGAAAAAAAAAGGUACUCUGUAUAUUGAUAUUGAUUGUAAAGAAAUAAUGACAAAAGGAUACUUACGACUCAAAGGUAAUACACUGCUCAUUUUGGAAGAAACACAUCCAACACUUCAAAACUUAUCCUUCAUUGAUCUGUGUAAAUAGAAUCAUAGAGUGAAGAUUUUCUCAUGUAAGUUUAAUUUGCAAAUUGGAGAGAAAAAGGACCAACUUACCGAAGCUUCAUCAUCCAGUAGAUAGCGGCCCUCUCUUUGAAUUCUUUGGUCAUCAACUUCAAUAUUUGGGAUGUGAGAAAUGAAAGCCCAAUCCGCACCCUCUCUAUUUCCACAUCUUUCCUUCAAUUGGGGACAGUCAUUGAUAUUCAAUUCUCGUAACGAGGUGAGGGAACGCAUCUCUUGAGGCAGACACUUUAUUGCCGGACAAAUGUCAAUGGUUAGUCUUUGAAGACAAGCGAGAUUCCGCAGUCCAUCUGGAGGUAGAGAUUCGAGCUCUU